GAUGAACGCUGGCGGCGUGCCUAACACAUGCAAGUCGAGCGAUCUUCUUCGGAAGAGAGCGGCGGACGGGUGAGUAACGCGUGGGUAACCUGCCUCAUACACAUGGAUAACAUACCGAAAGGUAUGCUAAUACAAGAUGAUAUAAGAGAUUCGCAUGGAUUUCUUAUCAAAGCUUUUGCGGUAUGAGAUGGACCCGCGUCUGAUUAGCUAGUUGGUAAGGUAAUGGCUUACCAAGGCGACGAUCAGUAGCCGACCUGAGAGGGUGAUCGGCCACAUUGGAACUGAGACACGGUCCAAACUCCUACGGGAGGCAGCAGUGGGGAAUAUUGCACAAUGGGCGAAAGCCUGAUGCAGCAACGCCGCGUGAGCGAUGAAGGCCUUCGGGUCGUAAAGCUCUGUCCUCAAGGAAGAUAAUGACGGUACUUGAGGAGGAAGCCCCGGCUAACUACGUGCCAGCCGCCGCCGUAAAAC
rnacentral:rRNA from 1 species